UGUGAUUAAUCCCUUUACUCUCUGUAGUUGUCAUAGCUCCUGUUAUGGACCAAGGAGAUGUCAUUGCUGUCCUUUUGAUCAGCUGUGGAGAGACCAGUGAUGAGAAGGACAAAGAUUUAGACUUGCUAGAGAAGCAUGUAAGUCAAAGGGACAAAUAUUAAUCAAUGAUUUAGUUAACAAGGGAACUACAAUCAGUAAUAAUGUUCUUCGUGCCCCGCUGUCUCCUUUCAGAUCACAGCAGCUUGUAAAAGAGUGCUCAAUCUGAAGGCCAACAGGUCGUUAAUGAGCCCACUGAUCAAUACAUCUGAGAAUCAUUCACCAGCUCCACUGCAUAGUGCAGGAAAUGGAGACCUGGCUCAGAAAGUCCUCCAGCUGUGUGGUAUGCACUGAGAUUGAAUGUGGUUGUCACAGGGAAGAAAGCAUAGCAGAAACGUAGACCUUCAUUUAUAUAUAAUGAAUAUUUGUUAUUAAUGGCCUUGUUUUUUUUGUAUAGGAAGUCUCUAUGAUUUGAAUGCUGAUACUGUCCAGCACAAAAUCAUUAAAUAUGUGAGUUCCAAAAUUAUAGUAAUUAUAUCAUCAUUAUUAAUAUUGAAAUGGUGAAUCUUACAGAAUGAUGAACAGACACACUAUUUACUUGGUGUGAUUGCUUCAACAGCUGGAAAAAGAGACCAAGUCUGUGUGUUGCUUUCUGCUGGUUUCAGAAGACAGUAACCAGCUGCUCUGCCAGGUGAUUGGUGAUAAAGUUUUGCAGGAGAUCAGCCUUCCUCUGGUCAUAGGCCCUUUGGGGAAGGCAGUGGAGGAGAAAAGGUCUCUCACACAACAAGACCUCACCACAGUGAGUACAUCCUACCAUGUUUUUGUGCCACAUUUCACCACAUUUCUAUUCUCAGAAUAUGGUCUAAGACAGAGGUCGCCAACCCGUCGAUCGCGAUCGACGUGUCGAUCUCGAAGACCUUCCCUGUCGAUCUCCAAAAUUAUUAUUUUUUAAAAUACCGAAAAAAAAAAAAAAAAAAUUGAACAUUUUCUGA
rnacentral:lncRNA from 1 species